rnacentral:rRNA from 1 species
UGGGGAAUUUUGGACAAUGGGCGCAAGCCUGAUCCAGCCAUGCCGCGUGCGGGAAGAAGGCCUUCGGGUUGUAAACCGCUUUUGUCAGGGAAGAAAUCUUCUGAGUUAAUACCUCGGGAGGAUGACGGUACCUGAAGAAUAAGCACCGGCUAACUACGUGCCAGCAGCCGCGGUAAUACGUAGGGUGCAAGCGUUAAUCGGAAUUACUGGGCGUAAAGCGUGCGCAGGCGGUUUUGUAAGACAGAGGUGAAAUCCCCGGGCUCAACCUGGGAACUGCCUUUGUGACUGCAAGGCUUGAGUGCGGCAGAGGGGGCAUGGAAUUCCGCGUGUAGCAGUGAAAUGCGUAGAUAUGCGGAGGAACACCGAUGGCGAAGGCAAUCCCCUGGGCCUGCACUGACGCUCAUGCACGAAAGCGUGGGGAGCAAACAGGAUUAGAUACCCCUGGUAGUCCACGCCCUAAACGAUGUCAACUGGUUGUU